rnacentral:rRNA from 1 species
GGUGUAGGCGGCUUUGCAAGUCAAGUGUGAAAUCCCAGGGCCCAACCCUGGAACUGCACUCGAUACUGCAUCGCUAGAGUCCCGGAGAGGAUGGCGGAAUUCCAGGUGUAGAGGUGAAAUUCGUAGAUAUCUGGAGGAACACCAGUGGCGAGGGCGGCCAUCUGGACGGUGGCUGACGCUCAGACCCGAAAGCGUGGGGAGCAAACAGGAUUAGAUACCCUGGUAGUCC